UUACCUACAACACAGUACUUCUCAUAUCCUGAGGUUAGCUGCAUAAAGUCUCAAUCUUUCCUUUGUUUUUAUUGAGCUUAUGUCAUCUUCUCCAAUGGCGUUGGUACAGAGUUCGAUUCCCGGUUCGUCUGCGGUCAGAUUGAGCUUCUCAAACUCAAUGCCGACACCGUCAAAAGUCUCCUUCGUUGUCCCGAUGGUGAAAGGUUGGAGGAGGAGUUCAUGCCCAAGAAGGGUGGUGUUAAGAGCAAUGGUUCAGGAAGAAGCAGUUCAAGGCUCUCCUUCAGUUUACGCCAGAGAUAUGGAGAGGCUUUCCGCUAAGGAAUCUCUGCUUCUCGCUUUAAAAGAUGCUGGAGGCUUUGAGGCUUUGGUUACAGGGAAAACUACGAGUAUGCAAAGGAUCGAUGUCAAUGAGAGGAUAACGAGUUUGGAGCGGCUUAACCCUUCUCCUAGACCAACUACGUCUCCUUGCUUUGAAGGUAGAUGGAACUUCGAGUGGUUUGGCUCUGGAAGCCCUGGUUUACUAGCUGCUCGAGUCAUAUUCGAGAGGUUUCCUUCAACGUUGGCUAACCUUUCAAGAAUGGAGAUAGUUAUUAAAGAUGCUAACGCAAAGGCCACUGCUAAUAUCAAACUACUAAACUCGAUAGAAAGCAAGAUCAUUCUGUCAUCGAAGUUGACUGUGGAGGGACCUCUGAGGCUGAGAGAAGAAUAUGUGGAAGGUAUGGUUGAAUCCCCAACGGUCAUUGAAGAAGCAGUUCCUGAACAGCUUAAACGUGCAUUGGGUCAAGCCACCACAACGUUGCAGCAGCUUCCUGAUCUUAUCAAGGAUACUUUAAGCAGUGGUCUAAGGAUUCCCCUGAUGUGUUGUUAUCUGCUUUAGGUGGAUCUUUUGAGAGAUUCUUUAUGAUAUCUUAUUUGGAUGAGGAGGUUCUUAUAGUAAGAGAUACUUCAGGAGUGCCUGAAGUUCUAACGAGGUUGGAGACACCGCCAUCAAACGUUGUGGAAGCUCUUUGAAUAUGAUAUAGUUAGAUGUUACUAGCCAUUGUUCUUAUGUUCCUUCUGUGUUCUUACAAGAACCAACAACUAAGUUGAGUCUGUUGAAAAUGAAUAACAUUUUUUUUUUGAUAAAAAAAAUGAAUAACCUUAAACAUCUACUUUUGUUUAA